AUUGCAGCCUGCAACUCGGCUGCAUGAAGCUGGAAUCGCUAGUAAUCGCAGAUCAGAAUGCUGCGGUGAAUACGUUCCCGGGUCUUGUACACACCGCCCGUCACACCAUGGGAGUUGGGAAUGCCCGAAGUCAGUGACCCAACCGCAAGGAGGGAGCUGCCGAAGGCAGGCUUGAUAACUGGGGUGAAGUCGUAACAAGGUAUC
rnacentral:rRNA from 1 species